UGGCCCCAUCAUUUUGAAACACCGGUUCCUGUACGAUUACAGAAGUUAAACAACGUCGAGCUUGGUGAGUAUCCAGAUGGGUGAACGCUUGGGAAUAAUAGAUGAUGUAG